ACCAGAGAAGAUCGGAUUCCAUGCUAUGAAUGAGCUUUGAACAGUGCCCUCCACUGUGCAGCAGACAAUUCAUGACAUGCGGUGGUGACUGGGGGAGGUAGAGAUCCAGAUUCCAGGGAAGGUGAGGAAGAGGAGGCUGACAAUGAAGAGCAACAAAGACAAGAAUACCUGAAGCUGACAGAUUUCACUCGGUUCGAGGAGGAGAUCCGAGAACGGAUGAGGAGAGAGUGGCUACGUCAGGAAGCUAAAAUUAGGAAACGCAUGGAAGAAAACCAGGACAGGUGGAGAAACCUGCAUUACAUCACACUGAACCAGCUCAUUAGCAAACCGUGGGUAUCCAGCUAUUUCAGACUCAUGCCAAUGAUCACUUAUUCCCAGACAAUACCUGAAGAGCCAGAGGA